rnacentral:rRNA from 1 species
UACGGAGGGGUUAGCGUUGUUCGGAAUUACUGGGCGUAAAGCGUACGUAGGCGGAUCAGAAAGUUGGGGUGAACCCCGGGCUCAACCCCGGAACUGCCUCCAAAACUCCUGGUCUUGAGUUCGAGAGAGGUGAGUGGAAUUCCGAGUGUAGAGGUGAAAUUCGUAGAUAUUCGGAGGAACACCAGUGGCGAAGGCGGCUCACUGGCUCGAUACUGACGCUGAGGUACGAAAGUGUGGGGAGCAAACAGGAUUAGAUACCCGGUAGUC